GCGGAAGUGGUGGAACUGGCAGACACGCCAGAUUUAGGUUCUGGUGCCGAAAGGCUUGGGGGUUCAAGUCCCCCCUUCCGCA
rnacentral:tRNA from 1 species